UCAACGUGGGCAGCGAACCUAGAUGGGGAGGAAUGAAGGGACAAGAGACACGAAAGGUGACAGCAAGACAGGUGUCUGAUCAAGCUGCAAACUUUUAUUGUUCACACAGGGGUAUUUAUAUGCUGGGGAUGGGGAAGCUCUCUAAUCAACAAUUGCUGGAUGUGGGUGGUAAAACUGCCAGAUGUCUGAUGAUCCUGAUAACCGCAGGAUGUUCCAGGGAGAUAGGUAGCUGCAGGAUGCCUCCCAGGCAGGAUGUCUCCCAGGGGGCUGUCAGGCUAAUCUUUGAAGGAGAAUUUCCUUCUAGUCCCUGACAAGUGCGGUUGUUUCCCCUUUUUAUAGUUCUUUCAGUGAUGGAAUGUAGGUGGGAAGGCCGAAGGGUGGGGCACAGGUGGGGCAAAGAAGUAAUCUUCAUUAACACUUCUUUGGGAUGGGCCCUGGGCCUUGGGGACAUUAACAUUCCAAGAGUUGUUCUGCUUUUCCCGGACUUCAUUCUCAACAUGGCCUCCAUUUUGGAUCUUACUUGAUAUUAGACCCGAUUUACCUAACUACACUGACUACCUAACUUUAAAUCUGGCUUCAGUAUAAUACUCCUUGGGUUCAAAAUCUGGCACUGCUGCUAACUGGCCACAUAAUAUUAAUUUCUUUAUCUUUCUCUCUAAAUAUUAUCUCAGUGUCUUUAACAAUAAAAUGGAGGUUAUGAUAACAUUUGCCCUAAUUUUCUCUAAUUAAGUGAAAUAAUACCUAAGACAUGCCUUGCAUAGGGGCUUGGCAAUAACAAAUACCAACAGCUAAUUAAUGUUAGCUGUUAUUCUUCUUCUUAUUUUAUCUGUGUAAUAUCAUAAAAAAGCCAGUUAAAAGGGAGCAAACUAGACUCAGUCCUGAGAAGAAGAAAUCAAAGGUACCAGAAGUACAAUCUGUCUGACAUCCCCUGGUCAAGGCAGGACUUCAGCGACUCAGCUUUCCUAGGAGGAGUUUUCAAGGGGACAUUAUGGUUUUGCAUGAUUAGGUUAGGCCUUCCCAAGGAACAUGGUGUGGAACCAUAAGUCUACUGGGAUGGCCAACACCUAGAGAAGGGGAUAACCAUCAACAUCCUGGAAUAGCUUAGUAGGGGGUGAUUGUCAGGCAGGCUUCUUGGAGGAACACCCUUCCUUAUUAACUGGCAAAUGCUGCUGUCUGGCCGAGGGGAGAGGCAGCAGCCUGCCAUAUGCUAGAGAGUUCCCAUUGCCUUUGUUUUACUGGGAAUUAAACCCAGGGCCUUGUACAUGAUUGGCAAGGACUCUGCUACAGAGCCACAGCCACGGCUUUGGAUUUUUUAUCUUGAGACAAGGUCUCACUAUGUUUCCCAGGCUGGCCUUGAACUUGAAAUCCUCUUUCCUCACUUUCCCUAGUUGCUAGGGUUUCUGGCAUGUGCUAUGUGCCCAGGCCUUUUCCCUUUAAACUCCUCUCAGUAUACAAUGAUUCAUUUUCUUUCAGUUAAUGUUGAGUACCUAUUCUGUGCCAAGAAAGAAGCUACAAGAUGAAGACAGGAGCUAAAGGGGAAAAAAACAAGAUCCCAUCUGUCCUGCCCUGCCAUCAGGGACAGAUCAAUGUCCUGUGAGAAAGAGACAUUAAUCAUAUGACCACCUAAAUAAAUGUAAAAAUACAACUGUGAUUGUUGGGAGUCACCCCGGCUCCAAAGAUGGUGCCUACAGCGCUUCUCUUCUGGUACUAACUUCCCCAUGCCCGGAGACAGUGGCUGGAAGAGCCGCCCAAUGGUGAGCCCUGCUGACCCGCAUGAUCCUUACCCACCAAUCAGAAAGCGCCCCGUGGACUGCUCUGUUGAACCACCCCUGGCUUUAUAAAUGUGCAAAGCUGUUCCUCAAUAAACAGGGUACUAAUCACACCCUCUGUAAGAGCAAAGCAAGUUCAAGUGAAAUCAGAAGAAAAAGCAUAUGAAGGAAAUAAUAUAAUGGAUUGAGUUCACCCUUGGACACCUUGUCUUCUUUCUUCAGGUCCAAGAAAAAUGGGACCCAAAGAAAAACAAUUUUACAUUGUAUAAGAAUUGCCAUUUUGUGUUGCCAAACAUGCUGUGCUAAGCAACUGUUGGUGGAUGCAGAGGCAGGGUGUUCCCACGGAAGGAGCAUUUCUCACAUGACAUGGAGUCUCAAGGAGCACUCUACCAUGGAGCUACAUCCCCACCCUUUUUAUUUUAUUUUAAAAAUUUGGGACAGGGUCUCACUAAAGUGCCGUGGUUGACCUCCAGGUUGUGAUCCUCCUGUCUCAGCCUCCUGAGUAGCUGGUAUUAUAUACGUGUGCUGCCAUGCCCAGCUGAAGCAUCUUUUGUCUGAGUGGCAAACAAAUUCCUGUAAUUUCAAGCAGAAUGAUUGAUGAGUAGAAAAAUGGAGUCCUGUCCAAUAUCACUCAUCUCUGAAAUCAUAGCACGAGGACUUCUACCCACAGGUGACAUUUGAUGGAGCCACCCCUUAAACACCUUUGCCUGAAAGACACAGGGUGGGUAGGUAAAAUAACCUUCACCAAGAAUUCCAGACUCCAUUGAUUGUAACUUCUCUUCCAAUGGAUCAGUAUGUAUUCUGUCUCUAUUUUUAUUUAAUUUUUUAAAAAAUAUUUAAAAUAUUUCUUUUUGAGAUGGGGUCUCUCUAUGUUGUGUAGUAUGGUCUCACACUCCUGCACCCAGGAUAUCUUCCUGCCUCAGCCUCCCAGGUAGCUGGAAUUAAGUGCAUGAUACCAUGCUUGGCUUUUUAGAAUUCUUUGAGAAAACUCUAUCCUGAAGAAAAUGUAUAUUUUUGACUGUAUGUAUAUUUUUAUUGCCACACUUUUUUAUUUUUAAAACAAUGAGAAUAUGUUAUUUUUAUAGUUGCUUAAACAAAAAUUUUCUGUUUUUAAAAUAAUUUUGAGGUGUACUGGGAUUGAACCUAGGGGUGUUCUACCACUGAGCCACAUCCCCAGCCCUUUUUAUUUUGAGACAGGGUCUCACUAAGUUGCUUAAGGCCUCACAAUUUGCUGAGGCUGGACUUGAAUUAACAAUUCUCCUGCCUCAGCCUCCUGUGUUGCUGGGAUUAUGGGUAUGUACCACCACGCCUAGGAAACAAAGACUUUUUUCAAAAAGCAGCAGGUUAUGCAACACGUGGGAGAAAUAGCUGUGUUUGAAAUGGGACAGCAAUAAUUACAAUUAUAAAAUAAAGAAAAUUCAAUAAUAAAAAAGGAGGAAAAUCUGGUAGGGAAUACAUCAAAAAUGUUCAUAGUACUUAUAUACGAUAGAUGAAAAUUUAAGCUUCUGUGUUUUAUGUUACUUGCAUUCUUCUCAUAAUGAAAAAAAUAUGCACUUACAUUUACAUACAUGUGGUCAUAAGUUUUUUGUAGAUAUAUGUUUUCCUAAAUGGGUCUUUAAACUUGAGAAAAUGACGUUUCAGAAUAUUAUCAAAUGCUAUUUUCAGAACAAAUUCUAUCAAAAAAUAAAAAGACUCAAGACGUUGGCCAAUGAUUCAUGAUUAAUUUUUUUCAAAGUUACUUAGAAAAAAUACUUAGCUGUUUACAAGGCUGCUUUCCAAAAUACUAGAAUUAAUAACCAUGGAGAUGCUGUCUGAAAAUUCCUGUGAAGUUUCUGAAACAAAACAAUUGGCAAGAGAAGAAUUUCAAACCUCCUCUUUCUUUCUCUCCCUGUGGUUUCUCCUCUUAACUUGUAGAGCCAAAUCAAACAAACGUCUCAGUCCUUCAUACUCCCAGACUUCUGUUCUUCCCCUGAAAUCAAAGCAGGGCUUGAUUCUCUCCAGAAAAAGCAAUCUGAUCUAGAAGGAACUUCACUUCUAAGAGGACAGUAAGCCAGGAGGAUCACAUUCUUUUAGCUACAAGUGGAACAGAGACUGACAGGCGAGGCAGGCAGCCUCAAUGAGAGUAGCACAAUAGCAGCAACCCUGGGGAGCUCCUAUUAGCAACCAGGGUGAGUGUAACCAAGGAAAACCCUGAAUAAACCAGCUAGCUUCAUUUGCUUUUAGUUGACUUUAAAAAUCAUUAAUUUUGGAGGUCACACAGCUGAGAAAUUUAGUAUAUGUCUCCCAGAAACUUUGCUGCUGAUGAUCGAAGCCAGCUAAUGGGUUAAAAUGGUUCUCCAACAAAAGUUGCCUUUUGUUCUUCUCCAUUGUUCUGUAUCUUAAACUGCAAGGUUAACCAUUCCCCGGAAAUGAAACUAAGAAACCAUCAGUCAUAAAACUUACUAAUCAGUAACUUCUCUCUAGAUUUCCAGAAUGUUAUCUGAUGGCUUUGAGGUAUCACUAAAAUGUGCAUCACCUAACACAAAGUUUGCAAUUUGCAAUCCUCUUCUUUAACUUAAAGCCGUAGAAGAUGGGCACAAACCUAUAAUGCCAGUGAUUCAGGAGGCCGAAGCAGGAGGAUCACAAGUUUAAGGCCAGCCUCAGCAAUGUAGCAAACCCUCAUCAACUUAGUGAGACCCUGCCUCAAAAUAAAAAAUAAAAAGGACUAGGGGGUGCACCUCAGUGGUAAAGCACCUGUGGGCUCAAUCCCCAGUACUAAAAAUUUAUAAGUAAAAACAGAAGUAUAGAUAAUGUUUGAUUUACAGAGAAAUAAUGUUUAUUAAAAAAUGACAGGGACUGGCCUAGGAGAUGAAGGUCAAUAAUCAUUGCAAGGAUAUUCUGGCAAAAAAGAAAAAAAUAUAUAUUCCUUGAGUGAUAGAGAUGUUUAUCAAGCCUGGAUGUAUGACUCAUCAUGUGGUCUUCUUCACCACUGCCCUCUUCCUCCUAUUUCCCCUGAUAUAAAAGCACUUUCACGUAUUUGAGUUCUCAAGAUGGUCUUUGUUUUGAAGACAAUAGCCCUUGCCCCAUCUUCUAAAGGUGACAGUCCAUUAAAUAAACCUGCUUUCCUUGCUACCAACUCUUGUGUCCCAAGGAUUGGCUUUAGAGAGUAAGCAGAAGGACCUGGGUCUAAGUGACAAGGGGAUUUGUAUGAAAGUUUCUCAUGUGACAUGUGAUGCGCUACAAUCCUCAGCCCUACCCUAGAACAGCAUUCCACCCCAGUCCCAAGCCCUAGGAACAAAACAGUAUAGUAGUCCCCCUUACCUGGAGUAUUGCUUUCCACAGUUUCAGUUAUUCAAAGCUGCACACGAGUUAACUAUUCUUUUUCAAUGGUUCAAAAAUAUUAAAUGGAAAAUUCCAGAAAUAAACAAUUAAUAUGUUUAAAAUCAUGUGCCAUUCUUAGUAGUGUGAUGAAAGCUGCACCAUCCUGCUUCAUCCCACCCAGCACAUGAAUUAUCUUUGUCUAGAGUUUCCACUUUGUAUACUCUUCCUAUCCCUUAAGUCACUCAGUAGCCACCUACGUUAUCAGAUACACUCUGCCAGUAUCAUAGUGAUUCUGGUCUCAAUGCAUAAGAGUAGU